rnacentral:rRNA from 1 species
UACGUAGGCAGCGAGCGUUGUUCGGAGUUACUGGGCGUAAAGGGUGUGUAGGCGGUUGUUUAAGUUUGGGGUGAAAUCUUCCGGCUCAACUGGGAGGGUGCGCCGAAUACUGAAUGACUAGAGUGCGGGAGAGGAAAGUGGAAUUCCUGGUGUAGCGGUGAAAUGCGUAGAUAUCAGGAGGAACACCGGUGGUGUAGACGGCUUUCUGGACCGUAACUGACGCUGAGACACGAAAGCGUGGGUAGCAAACAGG